GGCUGAAGACAACAAAUUACUGUUAAUACACUUAGAAUUUUGAGAUAUAUACGUAAUGCUGCCUCCUCGCGCUUCGUCACCAUUCUAUUGUGUUGCUACUUGAUUCCACUCCUCCAUCAUCGUUCGUCAAAGCAUUAAGGUUAGUAUAGCAUUCUAAUUUUAAUUCCCGUUCGGCGGCUCCAGUCAAUUUAUGAUUUUAGCGAAUUUGUGAUUUGUGAAAAUGUGAUUUGUCAAUUGUAAAUUUGUUGAUGGAUAAUUAAUUUUUGAUUUGUUCUAUUAUAGUUGAUGAAUCUCGAGACAUUUCAAUGAAAAAGCAAAUGUCAGUUGUUAUUCAUUAUGUGAAGAAUGGGCGUGUAUUGGAACAUUUUAUUGGUGUUACGCAUGUUUCAAGUACCACAGCUGUUGCACUUAAGGCUGCAAUUGAUCAAUUUCAAAUCACUUAUUUUGAAAGAAAACCUAAGUGCUUACUACAUUCAUUGCUUUGCUCAUCAACUUCAACUAGCACUUGUAGCUGUGGUACAAAAAAUCCAAAAAUUAAAGUUUUCUUCACUUUAGUACACAGAUUGGUGAAUAUUGUUGGAGGAUUUGCUAAGUGAAGUGAUCUUAUUCGAGAGAAACAAAGACUUAAAAUUCUUGAAGCACUUAGUGUCGGUGACAUAUCAAGCAGACGAGGUCUCAACCAAGAAACUACUCUUAAGCGUUUUGGUGAUACUCGUUGGGGCUCUCAUUACCGUUGUUUGAUAAACUUGAUUCUCAUGUUUUCAGCCACCGUUGAUGUUAUUGAAGAGAUUACUACUGAUA